rnacentral:rRNA from 1 species
CCUACGGGAGGCUGCAGUGAGGAAUAUUGGUCAAUGGCCGGAAGGCUGAACCAGCCAAGCCGCGUGAGGGAGGAAGGUGCAGAGCGUCGUAGACCUCUUUUGCCGGGGGACAAAGGGCCGGACUCGUCCGCUCCUGAGUGUACCCGGAGAAAAAGCAUCGGCUAACUCCGUGCCAGCAGCCGCGGUAAUACGGAGGAUGCGAGCGUUAUCCGGAUUCAUUGGGUUUAAAGGGUGCGCAGGCGGGCCGUUAAGCCGGCGGUGAAAUCGCGGGGCUCAACCCCGUCCGGCCGUUGAAACUGGCAGCCUUGAGUGGGCGAGAAGAAGGCGGAAUGCGUGGUGUAGCGGUGAAAUGCAUAGAUAUCGCGCAGAACCCCGAUUGCGAAGGCAGCCUGCCGGCGCCCGACUGACGCUGAGGCACGAAAGUGCGGGGAUCGAACAGGAUUAGAUACCCUUGUAGUC